GACGAACGCUGGCGGCGUGCUUAACACAUGCAAGUCGAGCGAUGAAGUUCCUUCGGGAAUGGAAUAGCGGCGAACGGGUGAGGAACACGUGAGGAAUCUACCUUCUACUCUGGGAUAACUCCGGGAAACCGGGGCUAAUACCGGAUAUGAAACUCGAUGGCAUCAUUGAGUUUGGAAAGUUUUUCGGUAGAAGAUGACCUCGCGGCCUAUCAGCUUGUUGGUAAGGUAAUGGCUCACCAAGGCGACGACGGGUAGCCGGCCUGAGAGGGCGACCGGCCACACUGGGACUGAGACACGGCCCAGACUCCUACGGGAGGCAGCAGUGGGGAAUAUUGGGCAAUGGAGGAAACUCUGACCCAGCGACGCCGCGUGCGGGAUGAAGGCCUUCGGGUUGUAAACCGCUUUCAGCAGGGAAGAAGCGAAAGUGACGGUACCUGCAGAAGAAGCUCCGUGUCUGUG
rnacentral:rRNA from 1 species